rnacentral:rRNA from 1 species
GCUAUACNUGCAAGUCGUGCGGACCUUUUAAAAGCUUGCUUUUAAAAGGUUAGCGGCGGACGGGUGAGUAACACGUGGGCAACCUGCCUGUAAGAUCGGGAUAACGCCGGGAAACCGGGGCUAAUACCGGAUAGUUUUUUCCUCCGCAUGGAGGAAAAAGGAAAGACGGCUUCGGCUGUCACUUACAGAUGGGCCCGCGGCGCAUUAGCUUGUUGGUGGGGUAACGGCUCACCAAGGCAACGAUGCGUAGCCGACCUGAGAGGGUGAUCGGCCACAUUGGGACUGAGACACGGCCCAAACUCCUACGGGAGGCAGCAGUGGGGAAUAUUGCACAAUGGGCGCAAGCCUGAUGCAGCGACGCCGCGUGGGGGAUGACGGCCUUCGGGUUGUAAACUCCUUUCAACCAUGACGAAGCUUUUGUGACGGUAGUGGUAGAAGAAGCACCGGCUAACUAC